rnacentral:lncRNA from 1 species
AGUCAGAACAAUAAUUGCACAUAGAAAAAUAACUAUCAGAAACAGUUUCUAGGUAAAUCCCAGCCAUUGCACUGUUGUCUUGAAUUUGCAUUGCUGGGAAUAUCUCCCCAUGUGCACAGGACAACUGACUCUGAUUGAGGGACAUUAGUCUACCAGCAAACAUACCUUUAUUUUCCUCAUAUAACCAAGACUUCUCCAUAGGGCCCUUAAAAACAGCUGUUAAUUGGCUCCUGUAACAAAGCGUACAGUUGGACCACCAGAACCAAAAGUAUCUUUAAAUACCCUUCCUCACAUUUUGGUGUUUUGUUCAGUUAGGCUUUGUGUGAAAAAUGCAAAAUGAAUGUAUAGAAUGAUUCACUUUUUUCCUACAUUUGGUUGGUUUUCUCUAAACCAUGUGCUAUUUUUUCUGUUCUCUCCCCAGAGGACCGCAAGGAAUGGAAAUUGUUCUGCAUUUUUAGUGUUGGAUUCAUUUUUGUAUUCCAUAUCAACACAAACCAGACUGCUGCCGUUGCCAAUUCUACCUAUUUUGCUUUUUCUUCUUGCUUGGAACUACUUUGGGAGGGCAGCUUCCUGCAGCCAUCUGAAGAUUUUUGACUCACUAUUCCCUAAAACUGGGAGGGGUAGAGGAGGAAGGAAUAACGCAUUUCAGUUGAUUGGUAAGUUUUGCCAUAUUUCAGCGAUGUGAUAAGGUUUGCUCUCCCUCUCUUCUGUGUUGCCACUUAAUCAUUUCUUCAGUUAGUUAAAUUAAUACAGACUUCUCCCAGUCUGAGAACUACACUGAGAUGUUACUAGAAACUAAUAGCUGAGAAUCUGCUGCUGACUCAGUGGUUCAAGCACACUAUUAAUCAAUCCAUAACCAGUAUGGCAUUGCAGACUGGACAAAUCUCCAAAAUUCUUCUUGCAGGAAGACCCUUCUGAGGGGCCCACAAACUUUAGCAAUGACUAAAUGCCAUUCUCUGCAUUUAUAUUUCAUAUUUUGGCUGUCUAUGCUAUCCUGCAAUAGCUCUUUCUGUUUAAAAGUAAUCAUAAAUUCUUCAUAUUGUUGCUAUGUGUAUGGACUGAAUGUCACAUGGGAAAGGACUACAUUUCAUGGAUGAAUUAGCCAACAUUUCUGUUUGCUGUAGUGCCUUGUUUGCUGAUCUGAAGGGCAGUAAUUUUAGGCAGAAAUAGGAACUGGAAAAGCGACACAACUGACAUACAGUGACUGGAAACAAGGGCAAACAAGCGAAAUAGAGACAUAAAUGACCUGGUGAGGAGGACAUCUGCAGAAGCUAGGAAAAGACUACUUUACUGGCCAGCUUAUUAAACACCGCUGCAGAAACAGGCUGGUUUCUGCUUCUGGAUCACAG